GAUGAACGCUGGCGGCGUGCCUAAUACAUGCAAGUCGAGCGAACAGAUAAGGAGCUUGCUCCUUUGACGUUAGCGGCGGACGGGUGAGUAACACGUGGGUAACCUACCUAUAAGACUGGAAUAACUCCGGGAAACCGGGGCUAAUGCCGGAUAACAUUUAGAACCGCAUGGUUCUAAAGUGAAAGAUGGUUUUGCUAUCACUUAUAGAUGGACCCGCGCCGUAUUAGCUAGUUGGUAAGGUAACGGCUUACCAAGGCAACGAUACGUAGCCGACCUGAGAGGGUGAUCGGCCACACUGGAACUGAGACACGGUCCAGACUCCUACGGGAGGCAGCAGUAGGGAAUCUUCCGCAAUGGGCGAAAGCCUGACGGAGCAACGCCGCGUGAGUGAUGAAGGUCUUCGGAUCGUAAAACUCUGUUAUUAGGGAAGAACAAAUGUGUAAGUAACUGUGCACGUCUUGACGGUACCUAAUCAGAAAGCCACGGCUAACUACGUGCCAGCAGCCGCGGUAAU
rnacentral:rRNA from 1 species